AACGAACGCUGGCGGCAGGCUUAACACAUGCAAGUCGAACGCUCGUAGCAAUACGGGAGUGGCGGACGGGUGAGUAACGCGUGGGAACGUGCCCUGAGGUACGGAAUAACUGAGGGAAACUUCAGCUAAUACCGUAUGAGCCCCGAGAGGGGGAAAGAUUUAUCGCCUUGGGAGCGGCCCGCGUCGGAUUAGCUAGUUGGUGGGGUAACGGCCUACCAAGGCUUCGAUCCGUAGCCGGUCUGAGAGGACGAUCAGCCACACUGGGACUGAGACACGGCCCAGACUCCUACGGGAGGCAGCAGUGGGGAAUCUUGCGCAAUGGGGACAACCCUGACGCAGCCAUGCCGCGUGAACGAUGAAGGCCUUAGGGUUGUAAAGUUCUUUUACCCGUGACGAUGAUGACGGUAACGGGGGAAUAAGCUCCGGCUAACUUCGUGCCAGCAGCCGCGGUAAU
rnacentral:rRNA from 1 species